AUAGUGUCGAUCGCAGCUGGUUCGGCGCGCCUUCGCGGGUGAGCCGAGGCAAGAGGGAAUCCGGUGUGAAACCGGGACUGCCCCGCAGCGGUGAGUGGGAACGACCGCCGUCACCAAGCACUGGACCGUGAGGUCUGGGAAGCGACGGCCAGUAGGUAUUGCACGACGCCCACGAGUCCGAAGACCUGCCAGCGCGCCGCACACGAC
rnacentral:ncRNA from 1 species